rnacentral:tRNA from 1 species
GUAUGUGUAGCUCAGCUGGAUAGAGCGUCUGGCUACGGACCAGAAGGUCGCAGGUUCGACUCCUGUCACGUACA